AUGUGUGGAAGGUCAUUGCGCUCAUUAAGUUUUAGCCAAUCGGAAGAUGCCCUGGAGGGUAUAAAAACUGAGAGGGUCUUUGGCUUCGUAUGCGUCAUCAUUGGUGGACCGUGACGUCAUCGACAUGCUAUUGUUUGAUGCUAGGAACCGCUGGUGGACACGAGAGACGUUUCGUAGGGAGGCUUGAAUAUUCAGGCGACGGGUUGCCUUUUGUUUCAUGCUAGAGGAGCCUGCUGUCUGUCCCUUUACUAUAUAUCCUGGAAGUGCACAACGGUAUGUAUAAUUUCUCGAUGUCUUGUGCUAUCGCUACAGCGAAACUAACAUCUUUAAUUUGUUUAAGGAGUGCAAGAGUUGAGUUCCACAUACCUGGGUGCUCCACGUUCUACAUUGGGUUUUAUACCAGCGUCCAAGUGUUUGGAAGUGCACCACAUGGACGGUAUCCUUGUUUAGCCAACAUGCUGCUUUAAUACAUGUUUUGCUGUUUAAUCGACACGUGAAUUGAAUCUGAUCCUCCAAGUUAAUGUGAUGCUAAAUUAAAUGUGGAUUGGUACACUGGCUUUAAAAGGUGAAUUCCUUGUUUGUGCAAAACCCUCAUAACCAGUGACUGAACUGUAAUACUCUUUUAAGGGGCUUCUAAUUCUGACAUUAGUGUUGCUGUUUUACAUUUUAUUUUAUUUUUUGUUAUUUUCAUUAAGAUUAAUUAUUUUCCUUUUUUUUGUUAUUUUCCUGUAUUUAAGGUUGUUUCCUUUUUUGGGGGGAUUUUGUCUCUUAGUAGACAAAUCCCAUAUUGUAGUUAAUUUCUUUAUUUCUAUAUGUACGCUGUUUGUUUUGGGGUGGACAACCAAGUCAUUAAGUUAUCCAUCCGUUGUAAUUUUUCCAUCUGUUGGUUUUCUUUGUUUUAAUUUGUAUCUCUUGUGUUGGCAGGGAUUGUGGCUGCUCUUUGGUUCAGUGCUUCCUACACGGGUGUCGUGCUCCUUGGGAGGUGGUUGUGAGUGCACUGGGUGUAUGUGUGUAUUAAUAAUGGAGACUGAAGUGUUCUAUCUUACUUGCGAAUAGAGCCUGUCUGCGUCCAUCUGUCAUUAAGAGAUGCAGUUUUAGAAGUUUGAGUGUGAAAUCAGUGAAUGAACUUGGUUUUAUUGUUUUACAUUAUAUUUUCUCUCCCUAAAUAAACUAUAUUCUUGUAUGGAC